rnacentral:rRNA from 1 species
AUUGAACGCUGGCGGCAGGCUUAACACAUGCAAGUCGAGCGGGGGAAGGUAGCUUGCUACCGGACCUAGCGGCGGACGGGUGAGUAAUGCUUAGGAAUCUGCCUACUAGUGGGGGACAACAUCUCGAAAGGGAUGCUAAUACCGCAUACGUCCUACGGGAGAAAGCAGGGGAUCUUCGGACCUUGCGCUAAUAGAUGAGCCUAAGUCGGAUUGGCUAGUUGGUGGGGUAAAGGCCUACCAAGGCGACGAUCUGUAGCGGGUCUGAGAGGAUGAUCCGCCACACUGGGACUGAGACACGGCCCAGACUCCUACGGGAGGCAGCAGUGGGGAAUAUUGGACAAUGGGGGGAACCCUGAUCCAGCCAUGCCGCGUGUGUGAAGAAGGCCUUGUGGUUGUAAAGCACUUUAAGCGAGGAGGAGGCUACUUUAGUUAAUACCUAGAGAUAGUGGACGUUACUCGCAGAAUAAGCACCGGCUAACUCUGUGCCAGCCGCCGCGGUAA